rnacentral:rRNA from 1 species
CUGAUCCAGCAAUGCCGCGUGUGUGAGAAGGCCUUCGGGUUGUAAAGCACUUUUGUCCGGAAAGAAAUCCUUGGCUCUAAUACAGUCGGGGGAUGACGGUACCGGAAGAAUAAGCACCGGCUAACUACGUGCCAGCAGCCGCGGUAAUACGUAGGGUGCGAGCGUUAAUCGGAAUUACUGGGCGUAAAGCGUGCGCAGGCGGUUUGCUAAGACCGAUGUGAAAUCCCCGGGCUCAACCUGGGAACUGCAUUGGUGACUGGCAGGCUAGAGUAUGGCAGAGGGGGGUAGAAUUCCACGUGUAGCAGUGAAAUGCGUAGAGAUGUGGAGGAAUACCGAUGGCGAAGGCAGCCCCCUGGGCCAAUACUGACGCUCAUGCACGAAAGCGUGGGGAGCAAACAGGAUUAGAUACCCCUGUAGUCAA